rnacentral:tRNA from 1 species
GAAGGUAUCGCUCAAGUGGUAGAGCACAUGCUUAGCAUGCAUGCGGUGAGGUCCUGGGUUCAAUCCCUGAUACCUUCA